CUCUACUUCGCGUGGCCCCUGGCUGCUAGGGUUCGGGGGAACCUAUCUGUAGCCCCGUGCGACCUGUGCGGUGACUCCCCGGUUGCGCCUCCAGGGGACCGGCUGGGUUUGGAGGCAUUGGCUGCCGUGAUGCAGGAAGGUCCAGCACUCACUAGCUGAAGGGGGAAGGAAUUCACCCGGUAAGUGCCAUUCUCCGGAGCUGCACAUUCGUGAACCCGAGAAACUUGCUAUGACCAGGUGCUAAAUCCUGAAGAAUAUGUUCCUGGGCUGCUUCCUCACUGGACUUGUGCUGAGGUACCUGAUGAUCUACUGAGGUGGCAGAACUAAGGUGGAAAUGACCCAGUGAGGAAGGAAAAUGAGCAAGGCCUGCCCUGGUCACAUAAUUAAAACAUAUAUGCUGGCCAAAGGUCAUUUUCCUAGUUGGGUGAGGACACGCUUCAGACGUGAGAUGAACUACAGCUGGUAGCUGGUUCUCUCCUGGGAUGUGCAUUUAGAUCCCCAUCUAGUUGAUCCGAAAGACUCUACCUGCACCCAAGAUCCGAAAGUUUUAAUGUAGGUCAUUCAACCAAGUGGAAAGAACCACAGCAUCCCUUUGUAAUGAUGCUGGAGUUACAACCAGUGAAUAAGGAGUCUCUGCUCUCACAGAGCUCAGUCUAAAGAGGAACACUGACCACAAAGUGUGAUAGGCAUCAUGUGAAGGGAAGCCCACUUCAAGCAUUUAGCAGUGAUUGAAUCAGGAUGCAGCUAAGACUCAAAGAGAUGGUUCUCACGGAUGGCUGAUGACAGGAUUGGAGCUAGAGAGACCAUUCAGGAAUCGAAGCCUGGCCUCCUGCCACCACUUCCUUCCUAAGGCUAUCUGGAGUGCCACAGUCGGUCUUUUUUGGUCUUUUCAUCCAGUUACACAGAGUUCACACUUAGCCUUCUCCCAAGACUAUGCUAUUCCCACCUCAGUAAAACGCUCAUUUGUCACUAAAGCCAGAUAUGUGCCCUACCUCCGAGAACUGAUGUGCUGAUAAACUGAGCUGAUAGAUAUAAAAGUGCUUUGAGAACUGCACUGCAAUACAAUUCUAAGUACUAAAGCUACUAUCAAAGUAACAUUUAGUUCCAUCGACAAAUCAGCCAAGGGAUUAACCACUAGUUAAUACCAGGUUCUGUGGGAGUGAAGCUAUCGAAGCUAUCUUCAUGGAUAUAGUAUGGCUCCAUCCCUAAAGGAAUUUAUGACAAGCUGAUGGUACAAAGGAAAACCAAGACUAUCACUUUAGUUCUGUACCUGAUCAUGUCCACUUGACCUUGGCCACUAGGAAACUCAGAACCAAAUUAAGUAAAACUUAAGAGUUAUUAAAAGAAAGGAGGGAGUAAAGAAGAAAUGGAAAAACGGUAAUACCUCAGGAAGGGCUAUGUGAUCCUAAGAGAAGGAAAUGAGAGGAAGAUUAAGUGACGAAAUGUGCAACCUCUCCUCGGGGAGGAAGAACUCUGAAUGUGACCUUGUGCAAAUGGAAAAGAAACACAACAACCAAUGUGGCAAAGGGCAAAAUGCGCCCCUGUGCGCCCACGCACACGUGCACACACUCACACCCCCUGGCUUUGAAUAUCUAGAAGAUAAAUGACUAAAUGCUGUAAGACUCCAAGAGUCUGUCAGUACUCCUGUCUCAAGAAGGCAGCACUGAAUGCUAAAGGAAUGGCAGCGAGUGGGGGAGUUGGUGUAAAUCAUGGGGUCACCAGAAGGUAUAAAUCUGGGAACCUCUGCAAGUCUUAACAGUGGGGCCAGUAGAGGGAUAGCUAGGCACUGACUGCUCUUUUGUUGAAGAAAAAAACAAAAAAAAACCAAAAAAACCCCCACUACAUAUAAAAACUCUUAAAAAAACCCCCCAAAAACUAAGGAAGCCAACUGAAGCCAUCUAUUUCACAGGGUAGGAAGCCAGGUGUUUUCCUGCGUGUUAAAAAACCAGGAUUUAAAAUUUUAAAACCCUCCUGCCUGACAAUAAUCCUCAGAUCAGAUGAGGCUACCCUCGCCCAACUCUGGUAAGCCCUGCCAGUGUUUGAAAGCACAAUCCUUAGAAGCCUGUGCCUGUCCAGACACAUGCAUCCAGUAAGUUCUUAGAUUCAAAACUGCGUUCAGGUAGAAUGGCAAAUCCCAGGUUGAAAAAAAAAAACUGGGAGAGAAACAACCCAUCUAUUGCUUCUUUUCUGUCUCUGCACUCCUAAGUCCUUUAGUCCCUCAAAGUCACUUAGGAUGGCAGUCUAGAAGGACUUUGAUGCCUCUAGAGGUGGCCCUCAGGGUGGGGGGCCUCCUCAUGCAGGAGAUACCCCUGGGCCUUCCAGAUCGCACUGUGUUUAGCCCACUGGUGAAGGAAACACCUCUAGCUGGUUUCUGCUGGCUCCUUCAUCAAAGCUGCUCCUUGAACCUCUCAAAGCUCCACUCCUUCCAACAUGGAAGCCCAAAGAGGGUUAGGAAUUUUCUUCACCAAAUUAACAGAGUAUCCUGAUUGAUGUACUUUAGGACAGAAACUAACCAAAGCAAAGUAUACAAGGUCAUGAUGGACAGCUCCAUUCUUCAUGGGCUAAUUUUUAUUUUCAAUUUUUCUUACUAUUUUGUGUAUCAACAGAUUUAGAAACAAUCAUAGCCAUGGUAUACUGAAUGCUUUAUCAUGUGCCAGAUGCUACGUAUAUAUCUUGUAUAAUUCUUAUAAGCCUGAAAUGGGUACUAUAUUGUUUCCUUGGUUAACUGAGGCUCAAAGAGGCUGUAUAGCUUGUGAGAGGCUAUACAACUAGUAAAUCAUAGAGUCAUAGUUUGAACUCAGUUCUAUUUAACACCCAAACCAGUUCCUUUAAUCAGUAUACUAGAUUGGCUCCAGGGGCAAAGAUAGUUUUAUUUCUGUAGCAGGGAGAAACUAGUAAGAAAUUCCAUGGUGAGACCUUUGACUAGUAUAACCCAAUGUUCUGCCUCCGAUAUUGAACAGCAAGGACAUUAGGUAGGCAAGGCUAGGACACUGUAUUAAAAAAGUUGAAUAAUCUAAAUACCUUUUUAUUGCUCAUUAAUCUAUGUUAAACCCAUUAAUGUUUUCAGUCUACAGAAAUCUCUUGGAUACUAGGUUCUAUAACUUUAUCAUUUUAUUCAUUCACUAUAUUUUUAUGUCUCCUGAAACUACUUUUGUUAAGUUUCAAGGGAAGCCCUCAUGCUCUAGUAUUCCCAGAUUUAUUUAAAAUAUUUUAUUUAUUUGAGAGUGAGCGAGAGAGAGAGAGAGGUAGUGAGAGUGAGAAAGAGCAUGAGCAAGGGUGAGGGGCAGAGAGAGAGGAAGAAGCAGACUCCCCCUUGGGUGCCUGGGUGGCUCAGUUGGUUAAGCAACUGCCUUCGGCUCAGGUCAUGAUCCUGGAGUCCCGGGAUCGAGUCCCGCAUUGGGCUCCCUGCUCGGCAGGGAGUCUGCUUCUCCCUCUGACC